GACGAGGGAUCCUAGCGUUGUUCGGAAUCAUUGGGCGUAAAGCGGGUGCAGGUGGCUUUGUAAGUCAGGUGUGAAAGCCCAGGGCUCAACCCUGGAAGUGCAUUUGAUACUGCGAAGCUUGAGUGUGGGAGAGGUUACUAGAAUUCCUGGUGUAGUGGUGAAAUACGUAGAUAUCAGGAGGAAUACCGGAGGCGAAGGCGGGUAACUGGCCCAACACUGACACUGAAACCCGAAAGCGUGGGGAUCAAACAGG
rnacentral:rRNA from 1 species